UUAAAGAAAAUUUAAAAAAAUAUUUUUUUUACAGAAAAAAUAAAUAAUCCAAAAGAAAUAUUAAAAAUAAAAUAUCUAAAUAAAUCCUAAUCAAAUCCUAAUUUAAUCUUAGCUAAAAUUUUAAUGAAUCUAAAUCAAAUCCUAAAUUAAAUCCUAAUUAAAAUCCUAAUUAAAUCUUAAUCAAAUCCUAGGUCAAAUUCUAAU
rnacentral:lncRNA from 1 species